rnacentral:rRNA from 1 species
GGGAAGUUUGCCUCUAGAGAUAGAGCCUUCCCUUCGGGGGACAAAGUGACAGGUGGUGCAUGGUUGUCGUCAGCUCGUGUCGUGAGAUGUUGGGUUAAGUCCCGCAACGAGCGCAACCCUUAAGCUUAGUUGCCAGCAUUAAGUUGGGCACUCUAAGUUGACUGCCGGUGACAAACCGGAGGAAGGUGGGGAUGACGUCAAAUCAUCAUGCCCCUUAUGAUUUGGGCUACACACGUGCUACAAUGGACGGUACAAAGGGCAGCGAACCCGCGAGGUCAAGCAAAUCCCAUAAAGCCGUUCUCAGUUCGGAUUGUAGUCUGCAACUCGACUACAUGAAGCUGGAAUCGCUAGUAAUCGUAGAUCAGCAUGCUACGGUGAAUACGUUCCCGGGUCUUGUUACACACCGA